GCCCUCUGCCCUCGCCUGGGCCUGCUGGGAGCUGCAGGCCCCGCAGGAACUACCACUCCCAGGAUGCCCAGCGGGUUCUCCUUCCCUGAGCCUGCCAGAAGGGGUGCUGACAUGAGCCGAGCAGUUCUGUUCCUGGCAGUGAGGCUGCAGAGUGGUCGGUCAUGUCAUCAGUCAGCGUGGGAGCAAGUGCUGCAGCUCUGCAAGCAUGGGCCUCUGUGCAGCAGCAGAUGUGCGUUUCCUAGAAGUACGUGAUGGAUGGAGCACAUGCUGG
rnacentral:lncRNA from 1 species